UUCCCAUGGAGACGGUGAAGUGGUUCAAAGGUCCUGCUACGUCCACGAUUGACCUGCUGGGCAUUCUGAAGAAUUCAGAGGGAACACGCUUGAAGUAAGAUUCACAAUGAAGACUUCUAUAAGUGUCUUAUGCAUGUACUAAGACAAUCAUAUCAAGGACAGACGCUACAUCUGGAGUGGAUAAAUACACCUUCAGCAAUCAUCUGGUACAACAGGAAGGACUCCAACAACCUUCAGGCAUUAGUCCUCCAACUCCAGCAAUACGCUGUAAGUUGAAAACCAAAAGGAUAGCUUAUUGUUGCUUAAUCUUACACCUUGAAGACUCCAUACUUAUUAAUAGCCAGCAGCAGCACAAAAAAGAACGGAAAAAAUAGUUAUCAGGAGAGGAUGAUGAUCCAGCACAUGAGCAAAAGCUGCCCUGGCUUCUCAUCAGCCAGCGAGGGCGACGCAGGAGGUGCUCUCCUCGGCACCGUCGGCGGUGCUGGAGCACCAGGCAUCGUCGGAGAUGAACUGCAUCCAAGAGUCGUCCUUGUCGGGAUCGUCCUCGGCGUCGGCGCCGGAGGUCGAACCGACAGGCACGUCCGGCGACGGUGUCUCGUACUGCUCCUGGCCGCCGCUGGCGAGCAGCUGCUGGCAGGCACCCUCCAGCAACGCCAUGCUGCAUUGGCCCUGCAGCUCCUCCACCUCGCUGCAGAUCGCGUUCUUCUUGAAGACUCGGCAUAGCGCGAAAGAGGUAUGUUAAUAAGAGAGAAUUAAAGAAGACGGCCCAGUAGGAAGGGCAGGAUGCGAGUAUGAUGAUGGAUUCAGCAUGGAAUAAAGUGGAAAGCAAGGCGACACCGACUUGCAUGGCCAUGAGAGAUCAGUGUCUGCUCAUCCCAGGAUAAAGGGAGGAUUAGUUGUAAAACACACCAAGGAAUGCAGUAAUCAGUCCUUGUCGUCGAGGCGGUACUCGUGCAUGACCCAGUCGGUGCGGACGCCCUGCGGCGCGCGGCCGCGGUAGUAGACGAGCGUCUUCUUCAUGCCGAUGGAGCGGCCGCCGUGCUGGUGCACCACCCGCCGGUCCUUCCCCGUCGACUUCCAGUACCCGGCCCUCGUCGCCCGGUUCGUCCUGAACCCGUUCGGGUACUUCCUGUCCCGUGGCCCGAAGAAAUACCAC